rnacentral:rRNA from 1 species
UACGACUACAUAUCAGGCAUAUCAAUAAGCGGAGGAAAAGAAACUAACAAGGAUUCCCUUAGUAACGGCGAGUGAAGCGGGAAGAGCUCAAAUUUGAAAUCUUCAAGGUUCUACCUUGACGAAUUGUAGUUUAAAGAAGUGUUUUCUGUUGGAGUUUUGGUAAAAGUUCUUUGGAAUAGGACAUCAUAGAGGGUGAGAAUCCCGUAUUUGACCAUUAUUUCCAGCUUUGUGAUACACUUUCAAAGAGUCGGAUUGUUUGGGAAUGCAGUCCAAAAUGGGUGGUAAAUUUCAUCUAAAGCUAAAUAUUGGCGAGAGACCGAUAGCGAACAAGUACCGUGAGGGAAGGAUGAAAAGAACUUUGAAAAGAGAGUUAAACAGUACGUGAAAUUGUCAAAAGGGAAGCGUUUGACACCAGUGUUGUUUUCUCGAAAAUCAAUUAAAAAGAGUUGGAUUUUGUGUUGUAUUGACCUUAACAGCUUGCUUCACUCUUUUCCAGCUUUUUUUAAUGCACUUUUCGUUUAACAAGUCAACAUCAGUUUCUUUUGUUGUAAAAGGGUCAUUGGAAGGUGGCUUUCUCUUCGGAGAAAGUGUUUAUAGCCUUUGAUCUCUGCAAUCGGAGAGACUGAGGUCUGCAGCGUAGAUCCUUCGGGGUUAGAUACAUUUGUGCUAAGCUACAGCUUUUCAUAGACAACUUGUUGACUAUGUUUAGUCUUGUGACUUACCCGCUUAUGCUAUUUUACCUACGCUUAGGAUGUUGAGCGCAUGUCUCUCUCU